GGGCUCGUGGUCUAGUCAGGAUAUCCGAAAGGUCCUAGAGACGGCGGCCUGCGGAGCCGUUGAUCAGGGGUUCAAAUCCCCUCGAGCCCG
rnacentral:tRNA from 3 species